UGAAAAUGUAUCACGUUUUAUUAAUUUAUUGGCUCUGCACCGAGGUGUAUUGUAAGCCAACUUUAAGUACUUAAUUUUGGUAUUUAUUCACUGCUCAUAAAAAGAGGCAGCUUUCCUGACAAACCCUGAGGAUGUCUAUAAUCAACCAGGGAUAAGAAAUCUAAACACAUUUCAAUAUGCUAUUUGUACUUAUUUUUAAAUUCAUUGGUGGGUGGUUGGGUAGUGGUGAUAGUAUGUGUGUCCAUGUUUGUGUGCUUGUGUUUGUGUGUAUGUGCAUGUGUGAGUGAGUGAAUGUGUGUAACCAUGUUUGUGUGCUUGUGUUUGUGUGUAUGUGCAUGUGUGAGUGAGUGAAUGUGUGUGUCCAUGUUUGUGUGCUUGUGUUGGUGUGUAUGUGCGAGUGUGUGUGUGUGUGUGUGCGUGAGCGCAUGCAUGUUUGUGUUCAUAUAUGGAGAGACCAGGGGUUGACAUGAAUUAUCUGCCUCUAUCACUUUGUCUUAUUAUUGUCAUUUCCUUUUUAGACAAAGUCUCUCACCAUACAGAGUGCAGCAUUUCGACCAUAGUGGUUGGGCAGCCAGCCCUUGGGAUUCUCCUGUCCCAGUCUUCCCAGAUGUGGGGUUAUUCAUUUGAGUAUUCGAACCCAGCUCAGUUUCUUGUGUAAGUGCUGGAGAUCAAAUUUAGUUCCUCACAUUUGCUCAGCGGGCUCUUAACUGAUGGAGCUAACUUGCCAGCUCCUAAUUUAUUGAUUUGUCUGAGUCAGAGUCUAAUGUAUCCCAGCUUGGUUCCGAACUCACAACACAACUGAGGAUGACCCUGAACUUGAGGGUACCAGACUGUCUUCACCUUCAAGUGCUGCGAUCAGCAACAUGCAUCUAUGCCCAGAUUGGUUGAUAUUACUGAGUGGUGACUUUGUUCCUGGUUUGUUAGGGCUGUGUUCUUUCAGCAGUGGUAGUGUUGUAGACUUGAGCAUGUGGCUGAGGAAGUUAUUUCUUCUCCCUGUUUCUAGACACUGGCAAUUUUAUUCCUUCUUGGUGCACAAGAACAUGUGAAUAUAGUCACUGGGAUAGGAAUGGUAACAUCACAAUGAACUUGAAGUUGGCUGGCCAAGUCAAAAAGUGGUAGGGGCAUGUGCAGAGAUAGUGUUUGACACUACAAAAAUCUUAAGGUCAAGAAAUACAAAUGAAGAAUAGAUAGAAGAAAGUCAACCUGGAAAAUGGAAAGAGGAAAGGCGCUAGUCUGGCAAGUAGAUGGCCCAGCACUGGCUCUGCCCUAGUGAACUUCCAGGAGUGUUAGAUGGAGUCAUUUCUACACAGACUCUAUUUCAUUUCCUUUCCCAACUCUAAGGUUGCCAGAUAAAAUAAAAAGCCCACAGUAAGAUCUGUAUGCUAGCCAAAUAAUGAAUAGUGUUUCUAUAAAAUAAUGUACCAAAUACCACACUGGGUAUAUAUUAUUUCAAGAUUACAUGCAAUUCAAAUUUUACUGAUAUUCUGUGUCUUCUUUGCUAUAUCAAACAACAUUGCAUAUCCUGUGUGUCACCUUUAGUGACAGCUGGUACGCAGUGCUAGAGAGUUCAUGUUCUCCAAAUAUGAGGUGACCAUGUUGGGUUGAAACCUUCCAUUGCUCACAUUUCUGCUGAGAAGUCUGAGGCUCAUUCUCUUGCCCUUCACACCUGUCAUUUUACAAACCUCAGAAAAUACAUUUUUUUCACACACUGAUACCUGAAUGCCCCUUUCAUUCAUUGCUCCAACUGACCCCUCCUUUUUCACUCUUCUCUGAGUUCUUUGUACAGUGCUCCCAAAGCGCCAUAAUCCAUUCAUCGUAAAGUUCUCUUCUUACUCAAUAAUUUGAUUCAUGACUACUAUCAUUAUCAUCUUUAUUAUUAGUGUGUGUGCAGGAUUUAUGCAGAUGCAUACCACAGCACACGUGUGGAGCUCAGAGGACAACUUUUCGGAGUCUGUUUUCUCUUUCCAGAUUUGCAUGGAUUCCAGGAAUGGAAUUCAGGUCACCACACCAGAUUGGCACAGGAUGAGCCUUUACCAGCCAAACCAUCUCAUUGCUCCAAUAAAGUCUGUUUAUCUAACAUGAUUCUCUCCUUUCUCUUCAGAAGUGCUGUUUUCCCUUGAAGACAUUGUGUCUGCCAUGGCUAUCUUGAGUGGAGGCUAGUCUUUUCGAGUGCCAUAGCUAUCUCAGAGCACAGGAUAUAUAGCAGGACUUGUGACCAUUUAAGCUACAAAAUUUGGACAAAUAUUUUGAGACAUGGCUUAAGCUUCAUGCUUUUUUUCUGUUUGUUUUUGUUUGUUUUUUGUUUGUUUGUUUUUCAAGACAGAGUUUCUCUGUAUAGCCCUGGCUGUCCUGGAACUCACUUUGUAGACCAUGCUGGCCUCGAACUUAGAAAUCUGCCUGCCUCUGCCUCCCAAGGUCUGGGAUUAAAGGCGUAUGCCACCAUGCCGGGCUAAGCUUCAUGUUUUUUAUAUAUGGAAUCUGUUAUUAUCGUUAAGAAUUUUAGCACCCAAGUAGAAAGGUUACUUGCCUUGGUUGAUUGCCUUGGUUGUUUUUCAUCUUUGAAAAAGUUUAUCUUCAUCUGAAAACCAAAAAGACAUAACUAUUAUUAACUAUCAGCAUGUGGAAAAGGAGAUUGGAGGGAUAUAAAGGAUAUAGAAAUGAGAUAAAGGACCAGACCUCACGCUUGUGACUUAUGAAGAUAAGAUCUCCUUUGAUUGACAGCCGAAGUUAAAACAAACAAGUGGGAAACUUGCCUGCAAAAAAAUCAGCAGUCAAGUUAAGAUGAUUUAAUCAAAUUUUCUAUUCAAAAUAAUUCCUUUACCCAAAGCCAUCAUGAGCCAUCUUUUCCCAAUUGAGUACUCGAAAGAAGAAAACUGGGCUAGAGAAACAGGAUCUCGGAUGAUU
rnacentral:lncRNA from 1 species